rnacentral:rRNA from 1 species
AUUGAACGCUGGCGGCAGGCCUAACACAUGCAAGUCGAACGAGUGGCGGACGGGUGAGUAAUGUCUGGGAAACUGCCUGGUGGAGGGGGAUAACUACUGGAAACGGUAGCUAAUACCGCAUACCAUCAGAUGUGCCGAGGUGGGAUUAGCUAGUGGGUGGGGUAAAGUCUCACCAAGGCGACGAUCCCUCGCUGGUCUGAGAGGAUGAACAGUCACACUGGAACUGAGACACGGUCCAGACUCCUACGGGAGGCAGCAGUGGGGAAUAUUGGACAAUGGGCGCAAGCCUGAUGCAGCCAUGCCGCGUGUAUGAAGAAGGCCUUCGGGUUGUAAAGUACUUUAAGCGGGGAGGCGUUACCCGCAGAAGAAGCACCGGCUAACUCCGUGCCAGCAGCCGCGGUAAUAC